CCUCUCUCCCUCGUGUACUCUCCCCCUUCUUCUGCAAUAUCAGCCGAUCUCCAUUGCUUCCACCAAUUUUCCUGGCCGUUUUCAGUGUUUAGUAGCUCUAAUAUUCUACCUGAUUACUCCCUUUCCUUAAUUGUCCGAGUAGGCGAGCAGGAAAAGAGCCAAUCGUGGACCAACCCUAAACUGUAAGCUGUAUUACACGUUUCUUAAGGCAAGUAUAUUAUCCAACUAACUUGGUUAAAGAUUUUGAUGCCAUGAUUUGAUACUUGAUUUUUAGAAUAUUACAAUUCUGUUUAUCAUUGAAAUCAAAGUUUAAAACUCUACUAGUUGCCAAGUAUUCUAGAUUGUUAUAAACGAAGAACUUGUAUAACCUUUGAUGCUUUAACCUAUCAUAUUUCUCCCCUAUAAACUUGAUUCUUUAGAACCCUGUUAUAAGCUUACAAUAACACUAAGAACUUAUACCUUGAAUUCUUCAAUGUUAACAAACCAGAAGUAUUCUUCACCUAAUAGACCACUUCACUUGGUUGUCAUAUGAACCUAAACACUUAACCCUCAAUAGCUAUUUCCCAAUCUUGUCAUAAAUAGUUCAUAUUAUCUUUCUUUAUGAAUUAUCAUUCCCUUGAGAGAAUACUUGGCAUAGUAUAAUUCCAAAGCUGUUUUGCAACAAUGAUUUAUAGUUUUAAAAUGAUUUGAAUUAUCUGUUUUAAAAAGGGAAUUGGUUGAAAAAUGUUUUUAUGACUGAGGCGCCAAUCACCAUUUCAAUUACAAACAUCCGUAGCGGGGAGCCUGAUGUUUAUAUAAGGCCAAAGUGUGCCUAGGAUCCUUUAUAUUUGAGAACUCGUAUUGGAUAUGCGGGUUCGGAGCUUUGUCGUGGGCUAAUCACCCAGCUUAGCUCGUAGCGUUUUAUCUGUUUCCAAUUCCAUAAAAAUGAAACUGUUUUGCUUAAAUCAUAUUGUGUUGAUUAAUCUUUAAAGCAUGUUACAUUCUUGAUAUUAUUGCCAUGCUUUACAUACUAUUUAUGAUUUACUGUUGGGUUGGAUAUUAUAUACUUGUUGGGCAGUACUUUUGCUCAAUAUUUUAACUCAAUUUUAAAGUUAAACCCGAAAGUGGUGCAUUUGCUACAGACGGCCUCUAAAAACUUUGGAGGGUCGGGAACUGACUUCAGGUAGAUCUGAAAGUUCAACUGUAGGGACCUAUUAAGGAGAAGUAAAGAAUGGUGAAGUUGUAAUAGGUUGAACCCGUUGCAUUGUAACUUAAUCCUUUUGUUCAAAAACAGUUAUUAUUGUUCAUACUCUUACCUGUGGCGAUCCGGGCUUGGUUAGUUGUUAUGGAUGUUAACUUAUCUUGGUUGAAUUUAAUGACGUAAAUUAUUAGUUUAAAUCAUCUUUUUUUUUAUUUGAGUUGGAAAAUUCUGAGUUGCAGUAUUUAUAGGGUUCUUUAUAUUCAGUAGUGUGGGUUGUCACAGGUUUGUAUUAGAGCCACAAGUUUGAGUCAAUGAACAAUAACUAGGAUGACAUGGUAGGCAAGGUUAAUAGUUAGUGUAUUACCAUAUCUAGGAUGUUAUCACCCGAGAGAGUGAAUCUAGGUUUGAUAGUUAGUGUAUUACCAUAUAAAACUAAUGUUGUGUUUAUUUGGGGAGAAGGGAAUGAAAUGAUUAAAAAUACCUGAAACUAAUACAGAUAGGAAGAAAGUUUUGAAAAAAAUUUGAGGAAGUGCAAAAUCACUAUGAUGAGAUUUGAGAAGAAAUUGAGGAUGAGAGAAUGUAGCAUUCUAUCCCAAAUUGAAGGUGCGAUAUCUAGCACAUGAUGUAAGGAAUGAAAUGGAAGAAGUAAUGCAAUUUCAUAGAAAUUAUCCAUAAGAUAGUUCAUUUUUUAUUUUAUUCCUUCCGCAAUCAUUUACCCCAACCAAACACAACCUAAUUGUAUAUACAGGAGCAGCUAAAUUAGUUAAGGGUUGAUGCCAUUUGUCACUCCCGGCUGUUUACUCUUCUAACAGCACAAACUCACUGGGAAGCAUGACUAUGGGCUACAGCAAAACGCGGAAACUGAUUUUUCAGCCAACGCACGGCUGCUACAUUGUGGACUCAAGGGCCAACUUGAUAAAAUUUCCAAGGCAGUUGACACACACUAGUAUACACACCCAGCGCAAACUGCUGUAUGUACAGGUGCUGUGCAGGGUUGAUGUUCCCGGCGUACUGCAGCUAAAUACAAGUUAGUGCAUUUUUUAGUUGUGGGACAAGGGCGGAGAUGGGUUUGUGUGGUGUGUGCCUAUCUGCACAUGCUAAGCACUAAAUUUUAUAUGUUUAGGGGAUUUUCAUUGGUGUAGUUGUUGUAUAUGCACGGGUCCACCAUUAUUGUGAUAUAAGAGUUAAUCAAAAUGAGUCGAACUUAUAAUUUUUAGUGCUUAGCAUGUGUUAGUGGGUAGACUUGACGAUUCGUUCGGAUCAUGUACUCAAAAGACCAAACACAAAACCGACCCGUUUAACGUUCAUGUAUUUUCGUGUCGGGUA